GAUGAACGCUGGCGGCGUGCCUAAUACAUGCAAGUCGAGCGAACAGACGAGGAGCUUGCUCCUCUGACGUUAGCGGCGGACGGGUGAGUAACACGUGGAUAACCUACCUAUAAGACUGGGAUAACUUCGGGAAACCGGAGCUAAUACCGGAUAAUAUAUUGAACCGCAUGGUUCAAUAGUGAAAGACGGCUUUGCUGUCACUUAUAGAUGGAUCCGCGCCGCAUUAGCUAGUUGGUAAGGUAACGGCUUACCAAGGCGACGAUGCGUAGCCGACCUGAGAGGGUGAUCGGCCACACUGGAACUGAGACACGGUCCAGACUCCUACGGGAGGCAGCAGUAGGCAAUCUGCCGCAAUGGGCGAAAGCUUGACGGAGCAACGCCGCGUGAGAGAUGAAGGUCUUCGGAUCGUAAAACUCUGUUAUUAGGGAAGAACAAAUGUGUAAGUAACUAUGCACGUCUUGACGGUACCUAAUCAGAAAGCCACGGCUAACUACGUG
rnacentral:rRNA from 1 species